ACUUCUGGCGUAGUGGUUAGUGACCCUGACUACUGAGCCGAUGGUCCCGGGUUCGAUUCCCGGCUGAAGCA
rnacentral:tRNA from 1 species